GAAAAUGGAAUAUUAGACUGAAUUUACUGUUGGUUUAGUGGACUUUUAGAUCUUCCCGGACAGGAUCUCAUGCAACCCAGGGUGGCCUUGAACUUGUAGCUGAGGAUGACCUUGAGCUACUGAUCCUCCUGCCUCAACUACCAAUGCUAGGAUUAUAGUCAUACACCACUACGCUGGAUUAGAAGUGAUUUCUUCAAACACAAAGAGCAAAUGGCAUCGUGAGAAACGCUAAUCAGUAAAAAGGGCUGAUCACAUGCUGGAAUGAGGACCCAAGUUCAACCCCCAGAGCCUAUAUGCAGUGGUUUGAAUGAGAAUGGCUCAUAGAUUUGAACUUUUGGUCACCAGGGAGUGGCACUAUUUGAGAAGAUUCGGAGGUGUGUCCUUGUUGGAGGAAGUGUGUCACUAGGGGUGGGCUUUGAGGUUUACAAAAGUCCAACCCAGGCCCAGUGGCUCUCUCUUCCUGCUGCAUGCAAAUCCAGAUGUAGAACUCUCAGAUGCUUUUCCACACCAUGGCUGUCUGCAUGCCGCCAUGCUUCCUGCCAUGAUGAUAAUGGACUAAACCUCUGAAACUAUAAGCCAGUCCAAUUAAAUGCUUUCUUCUACAAGAGUCGCCAUGGUCCUGGUGUCUCUUCACAGCAAUAGAACACUAAGUGUUGUGUGAUAUUUUGAUCGCAUUCUGAUCCUCCCAAGACUGUCAAUAAAGUUUGUUUUGAACCAGAAGGGGGAGCUGGGAUUAGAGUUUAGUUGGUAGAGUUUACGGAGCAUGCAUGAACCCAGGGUUUGAUCCUAAGUACUGCACAGACCAGGUGUGGUGGUCCAAGCCUAUCAUCUCAGCAUUUGGGAGGUCGAAGAAGGAAGACCAGAAGUUGAAGGGCGUCUUCAAUUACAUUGGGAAUUCAAGGCUAGCCUGAAACCCAGGAGAUUCUAAAAAUAAACAACCUGUCACCCCAAAAUCCAGACCAAAUAAAAGUUGGAAUCUAAAAUGUAAAAAGUCAACAUCUAGCCGGGCGGUGGUGGCGCACGCCUUUAAUCCCAGCACUUGGGAGGCAGAGCCAGGCGGAUCUCUGUGAGUUCAAGGCCACCCUGGGCUACCAAGUGAGUUCCAGGAAAAGGCGCAAAGCUACACAGAGAAACCCUGUCUCGAAAAACCAAAAAAAAAAAAAAAAAAAAAAAGUCAACAUCUAAACAAAAGCAGCCAAGAGUGAUACUUCUUGGGGACAGAAGCAACCCUUACUUUGGAGUCUUCAUCAAUAGGAUGGCAAAUAUUGUUGACCAGCUCCGUUAUGACUGGGUCAGGCCUGGAACCAUCCACACAGUAUCACGGCAACCUCACAGUUCUGCAUGGCAGACAUUAUUAUUUCCAUUUUACUGACUGAAAGUCAAGUUCAGCCGGGCGGUGGUGGAUUUAGUCUUAGCACUCAGGAGGGAGAGGUAGAUGGAUCUCUGAGUUCAAGGCCAGCUUGGUCUACAGAGUGAGUUCCAGGAUGGCCAGUGCUACACAGAGAAACCCUGUCUUGAAAAACCAAAAACCAAAACAAAACGAAAGUUAGGUUCAGAAGAAUUAAGAGUGCUUUCCCUGGUCAGGGGUGGUACUUGGGAGGCUGAAGGAUCAAGGUUGACUUUGAACUACAUGCUGUAUUCAGGGCCAGCCAGGGCUAUAGAGUGAGAGGCUAACUUAGAAAUAAAUACACAAAUAAAUUAAGUAACACAAAUGUCUCAAAGUUGAACAUGGUAGCAUGUCCCUGAAGUACCAGCCACUUGAGGAGCCAAGGGAGGAGAAUCCUUUGAUGACAGGAGUUUGGGGCCAGCCUGAGAAAUACAGAAAGACCGGUCUUUAAAACCAAAUCAGGGGCUGGAGAGAUGGCUCGGAGGUUAAGAGCACUGACUGCUCUUUCAGAGGUCCUGAGUUCAAUUCCCAGCACCCACAUGGUGGCUCACAACCAUCAAUAAUGAGAUCUGGUGCCCUCUUCUGGCCUGCAGGUGUAUAUGCAGACAGAGCACUGUAUGCAUAAUAAAUAAGUAAAUCUUAAAAAAAUAUAAAUAAGCUGGGUGGUGCCACAAGCCUUUAAUCUCAGCACUCGGGAGGCAGAGGCAGGUGGAUCUCUGUGAGUUCGAGGCCAGCCUGGUCUACAGAGUGAGUUCCAAGACAGGCUCCAAAGCUACACAGAGAAACCCUGUCUCGAAAAACAUA